GUAUUGUAUUGCGUUAAACGCGGCAAACAUUCCAUGAGACUUUAUGGCAGUGUGUGUGUAAAGAUGUAGAACCACAGCAAGGGGACAAAGUCACCCAGGCCAUAGAACUACAGAGGGUGCACAGGUGUGGGUGGAUGUGUAAACAGAGUGUGCACGUGCCUCCGGUUUGGGGACCAGCAACAACUCGUGUUGACAAUUCGGUAAUGAUCCUUCCGCAGGUUCACCUACGGAAA
rnacentral:misc_RNA from 1 species